rnacentral:lncRNA from 1 species
GUCGUGGGGAAAUUUCACGGCUUGUUUCGAACGUGCUCUCCCGGACCAGCGCUCCCCCGACCCGGCCUAUCAGUAGGGAAAAUGCUCCCCCAACACAUUACCUCGCGCAACCUUCCCCACGGGCAAAGGGAGACGAUGCAAGGGAUGCUCCACCGUCUGCACGUCACCGUCCGCUCCGCUGCCGCAGCCUUUCCUUGACACGGUCGCGAGCGGGACACGAGGUAUUGAACCAUUGCCACCUUCCCUGGCUUGCCGUCCUUCAUCGUUGUCCCCGUUCAGUUUGCUAUCCUUCACUGUCGUCUUCCAUGACACGAUGUAAGGUCUUCCCACUCCUCUCAUACUACCUAGGGUUUUGAAUCAUUCCCCAUUCUAAUGUUAGAUCUUCUUCGAUUCUUGAUCUCCAAGAUCCAAUACAAGGUCGGCUCUCCUGCAAGUCUGUGGCACAUGGAGCGAACCGAGCAAGUCCGCGCCUCCACCAGCGUCCACCGCUCCUCCACCAAGCAAGUUCUUCUCACCCUCUCUACUCGUUUCCUGGAUGCGAAUUCAACUCACGUCGGCCAGGGGUGAACCAAGAAUAAAAUUAGAGUGAGAGCAUACUUGUAAGGAUGAACAUCAAAAUACCAGAGCAUGGACAUCUAAGUUGGACUGACUAGGGGACCAUAUGGUGAAAUCUGAACUAUAAUACUUGCAACAGAGAAGUGAGCGAGGGCCUAGGCCCUCACUCACAUGUAUGUAGGUCCGCCCCUUCCAAGAGAUGCACUUAGAGCGAAUUCAAUGUUUGGACAAGUUCUAAAAGGCCCUAGGAACAUAUUGGAACACAUUAGAAAAGUUAGAAAGGUCAGAUAUUCAAUAUGAUGUUCUAGGAGCUAAGUCUCAGUGACAUUUAGUGAAAGGGUUGAGCAGGUCUAAAAUAUGAAGAACUAUGACUCAAUGUGGUUGGAUGGACUAAGGAUAAGUUUAUCUAAGUCAUAUAAGUGCUCAAGAGUAUAUCGAAACGAAGAGAACAAAAGAGAAGAAAAGAAUGUCUAGAAAGGACAAGUCUAGCUACUUUGAGGUGCACCGAGCUGGUCUGGUUUGGCACCGGACCGGGCACCAAACUAGGCACCUAGAGACCUUGUUUUUUGGGCAACAGUGACCUGGCGCACCAGACCAGCCCGAUAUAACUGGACUCGACACCCAGAGAGAAUGCUUUUCAGACUUUGGCAGCUCAGGUGCACUGGACUAGUCUAGUGUGCACUAGACCAACAAUGUUUCCAAUGGUUGAAAAGGCUUGGUACAAUAGUCCGCUGACGUGGCUAAAUAAUGUGUGGUCUGGUGUGGCACCGGACUGGUCAGGAGCACACUGAUAACUUUCGCACAAUGACUACAAACAAGACAGAGUGUUAGAGGUUCGGUGAGCACUGGACUUGCUACAAUGAGAGGUAUGAUGCAUACAUUUUAAAAACAGAUUUGGGAGUUGUGUUCCAACAUCUAUGUGAGGGUUUGGUGUUAUAUAUAUGAUCCAACUAGUGUGUUACACAUCCAAGAGUCGAGCAAACAAGUCUAUACACAAGAGCAACACAUCCAAGUGACUAAAGAGUCCCGAGUGCCACAAAUUUAGUAGAGGGCUAGUCUUAGCCAUUCUUUAUGAGAAAUUGAACUAGUGCACUUAAGUAAGUUAAGUUGUGGAGUUGUGUUGCGAUCUUUGAGCUUGGAGCUAAGACUCCCACUAAGAUUGUAGAAGCGUGCAAGAGUCUCCAAGUGUGUGGAGAGACUUGCGGAGUCACGAACUCAUUGAGUAAGGGAAAGAGGACUCAUGUUUGAUCUUUGUGAUCACUUGAGUGAGGAAAGGGUUGAGAGACCCAAUCCUUAGGGGACUCCUCAAUGAAGAUGUAGGUUUCUUUGUGAAACCAAACUCCAGUAACAAAUUGUCGUGUCUCUCUGAUAGUUGCCUAAAGGGGAGGUGAAUAGGAACUCCUGAAUAUUUCACAAAUUCAAAACAAACUUGAUCCUAAUUAGAUGUUAGCACAACAUAUAGAUCAAAUCAAAGUGAGGAAGAAUGAAGUUCUUGCAGUUGUUUUCUCUCUUGAUUGUGGAUUAGAGAAUAGAGCAGAAUCACAAGUGAAGAAUAAGCAAUAACUUAGAGAGGGGAGAAGGGAAGAAUUACAAAAGAUAAAGCACACAAUUCAUAGACAAUUUUUCCCGUAGUUCGACCAAGCCUCAAAUGAUAGCCUACAUCCACGUUGUGGUGUCCAAAAGGACGAGGGUUGCACCCAACCCUUCUCCAGUGAUCCAAAGAUCAAUUUGAGGCCACAAAUUCCACUUAUAAUAUUCUCCUCACAAGGAUCUACAUAGAUCAAAGUCUCUUGCUAUUUGUACACAGGUUGAUGGGAGUUACAAUCUCCAAAAAAGCAAGAGGGAGGAAUAAACACAUACAAGAGCAUAGUAACAACACUAAGAGAUCGAAGAAUGCAAGCACAAAACUGAAACAAAGCCCUCUCUCGCGAAUACGAGCACUUGGAUCACUUGGUGUGCUUCUCUAAUGCGCAGGAGUGAGUAUGCUAGCUCUUGAGUUCGUUGUUGUAUUGAGGGGGAUAGUUUGGGGGUUCUAUUUAUAGCCCCUGUUGGGGGCCUUCGGCUUCCGAAGGUCCUCAAAAACAUGAUUUAACAAUGCCUCUGGAGUAUAAUGUGUGGACAGGGAUCUUCGAACAAGAACCCACGGUAUGAAGAAGCACGAAAACAAUACGAAGGAUGAAACAGAGCCGAAGUUAUGCGCAAGGGAGCUUCGGCAUGAUGACAGAAAAGAGGAAACUGACUUAAAGAGGAAAAGACUAUCUAGACCUAGAUAGAUUACUAUAGAGUUAUUGUCAAAAGCAAAGGGCCUGGAUGUAAUUUUGCAUGGGCUGCGACCUGUGCCUAUAAAUAGGUGAACAAUAUUCCCGUACUGUUCACGCUGACUUGGCAUUCACUUUCGCGUCACGCUUGUACCCUUGCUUUCCUUCGAGCCGAAGGUACAUUUAUAAUUUGUUAUUUUUGAUACAGUAACGCAAAUAAAAAUAAGUUGAUAAUAAUGUUUAAAGUGUUUAUGUUAUUUUUCAUA